rnacentral:lncRNA from 1 species
ACUGGGUCGCAGUGUAGAUAUAGACAAAGACAAGUAGCAGGAGAUUGAGAAGGAUGCCAAUGACUCCCAGCACAGCCAGGAAUCUCUCUUCUGGUGUACUGAGAUGUGGACACGCGCUGUUCAGGUCCAGCUCCGUCGCUGGUGGAGAGAAUCCAGGCAACGUACGCACACACAGCCGUGGGCGACGCUUUGAAUUACAGUCAGACACAAGGCUGCCGCUUAGAUACAAACGCACACACCUGUAAGACCACAAAGCCGAUUCAGCCAAGUGCUGUAGUGGUCUUUACAGCCUCCUAGAUAAACAUGCAGCUGUUCUGUCCACAGCAGAAUGGUGACUGAGAUGCUUUGUCCUCCAGUGUUACUAUCGAAAUGCAGUUUAGGUCUCCCUGACGGACAUCCAGGAGAAGACAAAAACUAAAAUGUUCAUCUGACUUACAAUUAAAGCAUCCAUUGUGUUGAGCUAUGUUUGGGCAUUUCCACACUUGAAGUCCAAUCAUGAUGCAAAUUUCUGUAACGAUGCCAUGUUUGUAGAUGAAGAGUCCAGUCCAAAUGAAAAUUCUGCUCCCGUUCCCUCCGAAUUGCUCUAGUUAUUCUUGCCGUAUCGCCUAAGAAAUGGCACAGCUGGUUAUAAACCUCAAGGAAGUAGGUGUCCCUCCUAAUUUGUGCCUCUUUCCUUAAUCUGUAGAAACAUCUCCUCUUUCCCACACUUGGCUGUCAUCGGAUGCACCUAACGGCUUGUCCAUUCAGGUAAAGGAAGCCCUGAGAAUUAAAGAAAAAAAUAGAAAAGAGGGAAAAAGAACGUGCCAGGUUUGGUCCUUUUGUUCUCCCCUCUGUGUUGCGAGGAGCAGCUCCAGAGUGGCCUGUCAGCAUCAAUAUUUAACAGGAAGUUCUUGCUUUGUUGCUGUCACUAUUAAAGUUUUCACAUCUCGGUCCUUGCACUGACAAGUUCACUGGUCUGCAGCACUUAUCUCACUUCUCUCCCUACUUUGACGUUUAAUGCUCCUCACCAAAGGACCAUGCUUUACUCCUCCAUAACUGUACUGAAGUUCCCAUGUUGUGAAUCUCAGUCCAGUGGACUGGAGGAGUCUUUCAUUCCCUCAAAUAUGCUCUUUAAUCAGUACAGUUCACCUUGUAGCAAAGCUUGAUCAAAGUUCUCUCCCGUCUGUUUAGUCAUACUAAACCUUUGAGUGUCUCAUACCUCAUAUCCCCUCCAGCCAGCUGAUUCACCCUCUAUU